rnacentral:other from 1 species
AGGCUACUGCCAUGUUCGACGGGAGCCUGUUUGGCUGAACCGUUGUGCGAACCCAGGGAGGCUGAUUGAGGUUGCUCGCGGACAUGCCCGGCAUCGACCGGGACUUCCUGGCGGCCUGUUGGUCACCCACGUUGAUUCACGGGUUCGUCAAACCGCUCCUACGGCAUUGCGGUGGUAGC